UACAGAGGUCUCAAGCGUUGUUCGGAUUCAUUGGGCGUAAAGGGUGCGUAGGCGGGCAGGUAAGUCAGUGGUGAAAUCCCCGAGCUUAACUUGGGAACUGCCGUUGAUACUAUCUGUCUUGAAUACUAUGGAGGUAAGCGGAAUAUGUCAUGUAGCGGUGAAAUGCUUAGAUAUGACAUAGAACACCAAUUGCGAAGGCAGCUUGCUACACAGUUAUUGACGCUGAGGCACGAAAGCGUGGGGAUCAAACAGG
rnacentral:rRNA from 1 species